UACUACACCCAAAAAAAGUUACAAAAGGCCCCCAAAGCACUUCAAAAAUAUGCAACUCAACUGUAUAUUAGUGUGAACUUCUCCUUAA